AACCUCUGCAGGCUGGCCGGCCCCCAGGUUGGGCUGGGUGAAUAUUUCUUCAGAAGGCUCACCCUUAAACAGGACUGGGAGC
rnacentral:pre_miRNA from 1 species